CUACAUGCGGAAGAGAUAAGUGCUGAAAGCAUCUAAGCACGAAACUUGCCUCGAGAUGAGUUCUCCCACACAAUAAGUGUGUAAGGGUUGUUGGAGACUACGACGUAGAUAGGCUGGGUGUGUAAGUGUUGUGAGACAUUGAGCUAACCAGUACUAAUUGCCCGAGAGGCUUAACUAUACAACGCUCAA
rnacentral:rRNA from 1 species